AGUACUGCUAUGUUACUAUAGGAUAUCCAGUAAUACUGACCUGUAUCAGCAUAGGAAACCUUUCAUGAAGCAUAAAGCAGGUUGUCCUCUGUCUGUAAGCUGUUGAUCUCUGCUUCGUAUGCACCCUGAGUGCCAGGUACUUUUUAAAAACAAGAGUGGGAAGGACAGUGACAGAAAACUGACUCUGGCUAUGGGAAGGCCUCCUGCAGAAGCAAGGAGGAUUUCAGGAUGCUCUGGGCACUUAGGCAGAAUUCAAAGUAAUUUGUGCUUUAAAACUUGACCUGAUGGCAACUGUAAGGGAGAAGGUUUGAGGUUUGUUGGUGUUUCUGUUUUGUUGACUCAGUCUCUGUUCUCUUGUCACCUUUAUUGUGCCUGCUUAGCUACUCAGUAUAGCAGUCCCUUAGUGUGUCCUGUCCUCCAUGGGUUCCUCGGGGUGGAAUUGCUAGGUCCCAGGUAAGCACAUGGAGCUCACUCAUGCUUGUUCUUCAUGGGCUUGCUGCAAGACACGGUGAUGUGUGCCAUGCUGAACGUCAAAUAUAGAUGAUUUCUUCUGGAUCCUUUUAAAAUCUGUUAAUCUUUGCAGAGCUGGGACUUCAGCAGCCCAUGGUCAAUCCCAGCAAAGUGCUGAGCUCCCUCAAUUCAAAACAUCUUGCAGAAUGAGGCCAAAGACUAUGAGUUAGGAAGAGGUGUGAGGAGAGCUUUAUUAGUAUGGCACAUAUUUAACCCAUAGGAAAACCCACAAAUUUUACUCAUUUUAAGUGUGUUUCACACUUUUUGACUAUUUGAAAUAACCACAUUUGUAAAAACUUCUUUUAAUGAAUAGAGCUCUUUAUGUACAAAGGCAACCCUUUUCCCCCCUAAGUAGAGUACUUUUAAAAUACUAUUUCUUUUGUAGGUCUGGCUGCUUCCAUCGUCUGUUCGUUAUUGCUUAUUGCUACAGAACCCUAAGAACUGAAACCAGGCAAUUUAGAUUAUACUUUACCUUAAAAGAUUUUGCUGAUCCAUACCACAUAUUCAUCAGGACUAAUAAGACAGAUAAGUAUUUUGAUAUUUAAUGCUAACUGCAUAAAAAUACUCUGGUGUAAGUGGCAAAGCAGUACAAUCUUUGUGUAUGAGUGGAGGGAAAGAGCUACCUGGUUACAAAUUCUGGCCCCACUGAAGUCAGUGGGGGUUCUGCCAUUUGCCUUCAACAAAACAAAGGUUUCACCGUUACGUUUAACAGAAAUAUUUCACUGGGACUGUUGUCAGAGUGCUAGUAAAUAUACAAUUUUUAAGUCUACCUUCCUUUUCACGUUUGAAUGUUUGUUUACCUUUCAUGCACUUCACAGUAAUUUGAUACAAAAAUUUAUCUUCGAUUUCGUUUUAUUUCAGGUUGGUUUUGAAUUGGUUCAUUUUUUACUUCUUGUGCAUUUAGAGAACCCACAUGGCAACAUCUGGGCUAAAAACAUGGCAGGAGAAUGGUCACAUAUUUUGUAUUGCUGGGUUUUAAACUGAAUUAAAGAAAAACAGAAAUGAAAACAUUUGCAUUUGUUUAUGUAAUUAAAAAAAAAUCAUAUAAAGCUGGGCCCAAGGUAGCUGAGUAUAUCCCUUUAAUGAACACAAACCUUCACCUUUUUUGCAAGCACAACGUAACUGGAGAGACAUACAUGUCAUAUCUACCAUAUCAAUGUCAUUUUAGAGUACGUAAAAAACCCCACUCUAUUUGUCUUAGGAAAUAUCGAAAACUUUUAUAGGGAAUUUGGAAAAUAUUUUUUGGCUAGCAUGAAAGGUAAAAUCCUGCAGCACAAAGUACAGACAUGGGCACAGAGACUGAACAGACGGGCUGCUGUAAAACAACCAUUUAAUAAGGCAUUAAAAUGCCAUCGACUUGGACACAUAAAAAAAAAAAGCUAUGAAAACAAAUGCCUUUCAAAUAAUUAGGAUCUUAUGCUUGAGACCAGUGUUGAUCUCUAUGCAGAGAUUUUCCUGCUGAAAUCAGACCAGUCUAAGUCUGAUCGUCUAAGGAAGGAAUUAGCAGCGUAUAAAUCGGCUGCUGCUUGAGAUUUUUGUUUCUGCCAUACGUUCACAUACAUUCAUAUAAAUGAUCGCUUCAGACUUUCUAUCUCCUUCUUUCUGUUUCCUAGAGUAGUUUGGAAGACAUUUAACUUAGUAUGCCAGAAUAUUUUUUUAAUUGAAUCUCAGGUUUUUAUCAUGAGCGUGUGAAAUAGUUAAUUACUAGCUUUUACUCACACUGUGUGAGUGAAUCUGAGCCAGGCUAACAGAUGCAGCCAGAAAUAGCAACAGAAUCCAUUUCUGUUCUCAAAAACAUAGUAUGACUUUGCUUUCACUUGAAGUUAUGUACUUGUAUUGAUUUUAAGAAAUAACAAUAGUUAUUAGCGAUAGCUGUUGUGUAUAGUAAAUCAAAAUUUUAUAAAUUUAUCCUUUAAUGUAAUAAAAAAAGCAACUUCAGGAACAACUUUGUCACCUAUAAUGUAUGCAAAUACAAAAGUAAGAAGUAUAGUUGACCAUUCAUAUCUGUGUAUUUAAGCCUGGGUCACUGCUGUCUUGGUAGUCCUCGUUUGCAUAGCUCAAUAAAGCCUCACUAAUUACAAAGAAUGUAUUUGGAAGGCUGUGCAUCUGUGAUAAUGGACUUAACAUUACAAAACAAAGUAACAGUUAUCUAAGAAAUGAACAUCAGACUCUCGACUUAAAGUUGGAAUUUAAUAAUUUUAUCACAAAAGUAGUAUUUAAUGAGUAUUGCUUUUCUCAUAUAAUAAAUUUACUGUUUUGAUCUCCAUUUUACUGCAAAUUAAAGUCAAUAAUCCUGGAUAAAUUAAUGUAUGUCCCUUCUGUAUUUUCAUCUUGUUUCCUGUUCUGUCAUUAGUCAACAGUUAACCCCCAAGGCGCAUAUUUUUAAACUCCUAAUCUUUCUUUCAGAUCUGUAAUAUCAGAAACUCUCAGAUCUUGUGUUUUUAACAUAGAACUGGGUCACAUGAUGAGAGUCCUGGGUGUAACUUUCAUAACCCGGCAGAAUAGGAGAUCUUUCCCUUGAUAUUGUGAUUUCUUCUAUUAAUCGGUUUUUAUAUGACUUUCUGCUAGCCGAGUUUUUAAAGGUGUGAAAACUUGCACUACAGAGGUAUUUUAUAGAUUGCAACCAUAAUUUCUGAAUAAGAUUCUAAAUAACUGGUCUGGUUAUAAAGCUUUGGGCGCAAUUUUUAGGUUCCCAUGAAUUACUGUUAAACCUGUGUUGCCAUUUGGCUAGAAGUACAUCCCAAUUAGUGACCCUCCUAUCUAGCAGUAGCAGUAUGCAAGUGAUUUUUUUUUUUUUAUUUAAGUCAGUCGUAAAUGAUUAGUCCAAAAGAGUAGCAUAAAACUUCGAACUAGUCCCCUGCAGGAGUCGGCUGGAGGAAAUUAAAGGAUCAACAACACAAGGGAAGCACUGAGGUAGGAUUGUUCCAGGCUGCAGCCACAGGCUUUCACAUGCACUCAGGAAAUUGACUUCAUCAAAAGCUGAGGAUGCAGGCGUGAGGAUGAGGAGGAUAACGCAGGUGAUGAUUCUAAAUCAUGGCUCAAUAUCACAUCGCUUUCCAAGGAGAGGUUUCCUCCCUGCCUCAAAAAAAAGCAGGUUUUCUAUAUAAAAAUCGAAUCUUCUCUUUAUGAAUUAAUAAAAGUUCAGCACAAAUCUGAGCUAUAAAUCUAAUAUAACUUAAUAAAUAAUGAAGACUCAGUUUCGCCCAAAUAAUAUCAGUUGGAUGUUUUUUUGCAGAAGUAAAAAAUGACUCCUCAUAAGCUCCACUGCCUGUCUCCGAGCGUUACUGCCCCGUGUGUGGAUUUGUGUGUUUGUGUGCGAGCUGUAAAACAAAGGACUCCAGAGUGCAUGGGACUUACAGGCUGGCAAGGCAAUGUCUUUAAUGCUUUAAAGUAAAUUAAUGCUGCAGAAAUUUGGAUAUUCUGGGCCUGUGAUGAAGCUGAAACCUUUCUAGUGGAGCAGGAAAGAAUCAGAAGAGGGGAAAUGCAUAAAUCUACAUCUGGAGCCAAGUAUGCUGGGAAGGCAUAAAGAGAUGGGGGAGCAGGAGUGCCAGAACAGAGCUGAGAGCGCGAAAUUCCAAGGGGAAAAGUGGGAGAAAGAAAGAGGAAUGUCCCAGGAAUGAAGCUCUUACCAUGUUCAAAACUUUCAUCGGAAGUAAAACACUGGAAGGCUAUAAUCCAAAUAAGGAAAUUAGAACAAAAAUUAACAAUAUUCAGCUAGUCAGAUGUCAAAAGAAAUAGCAGAGUUAUUGGUGUUAGAGGUUAUUGCCAGGAGGGAAAAACUCAGCAUGCCCUGGGUAAUUAAGCUUCAUUGGAGAGCAUGGAUCCCUUCUCCAGGUAAGAAAUGCUUUUAUAACAUGGCAUCUUUUGCUAUUGUAAUUAAACACCAUGGGCUAUUCUGCAUAUGAAGUCUUAAACACUUUAGUCCUUUAUCACAGGAUUUUACUGGCCAGGCAUAUGUGUUCUUAUGGCAAAAAGCAUUGACUGCUAUAAAAAAAGAAACCCAAACAUUUCUUUUUAUUACUUGACUUGCUGUAUUUUUAUAUAUAUUGAGCCAAAUUCAUCCCUUGUGUAGCUCAGUUGAAGCCAAUAAGGAUAGAUUUGGCCCAUGUCUAUAUGAGAAAGGUGGUGACAAUUAAAAUAUAUUGUUUAAUAAUGAGAGCUAUGGUAGUGAAGUGUCUUUGUGUCUAUGAAAUUAUACACCACGACACCACAUUGCCAGUAUAGGCUGGGGCUAGCAAAACACAUAAGACCAGUUUCUGAUGGAAAGGUAAAAGCACUCUGACUUUUAUUAUUAUGAUUAAAUAUCACAAAGGCAUUCGAACAAGACUAAUUUAGGUAACAUCUCCAGAAGUCUCAUUUAUAGUGUGGUAUUUUGCCAUAGUGCAAGCCAUUUUAAAACAUUUCUUGAAUGUUAUUAUAUGUGGCUAUCAAGGAUAGUAUGACUGGCUGCUAUUAGCAGUAAGUAAAAGAACAGGUUUUUAUUUCAUUUAUACUUUACUGAUUUUCAGUAACGCUGCAAAAGGAAUGUGCCCUAUUAAAUGAAAUGUGCGGACAGCCAUUAUUAUCACUUCACACUGGUAAUUCCCAGCGGUUCCUCUGUGUGAGGCAUCACACCAGCACACGAAAGACAUCAUCGAUACCCUGAAGAUCUUCAGAUCUUGCCAUUUUCGGCAGCGAGAUAGGCAAAGUUUAUUGCACAGGCAACCAGGGCAUCUGUACUGCCAGCCAGAAACCAUAGCCCUGACUCCAAGCCUCUGCAUGUGCCUGCCAGAACAGCAGGCUCAGCAGUGCGCUGCUUGCUGUGUGUGAGCACUGGUGCAAAGAUCUCUGGUUCGGAGGGGGGAAACAACUUGGACUCCCCCCAGCCGGUGCUCAGGGAAAGUCGGUGCCCCCAGGGGCCCCCUGCUCCUUUCCGUCUGCUCUGACCCUUCGCAGCUGCCUCGGGGCUCCCUGUCAGUAUGCUUUAGGAACAGGGGUGGGAAAGGUCAGAGGAGUAAGAGGGACAGGUAUUUUGUUGACCCAAGAGCUGCGCCAGCUCUUGAUGGCCCUGCCCAGGAGGCAGCAGAAAGCAAUCCCUCGCCCUGCUGAGCUAAUGGACUCCAGCAGAGACAGGUACCCCUUAAAUGAGAAUAAAGUUAUAAAAUACUGCCGAUGUAAUUAAUUGCUCAGUUUGUCCAAUGCUGCUGGUCCUCUAAGGAGUCUCUGAUCCCCCAAAAAUAAGGGGAAAGAAAAUGCAGAAUAAUAACAACAAAAAAUCUUUUACUGUAGUUAUUACUCAUUCUGAAUCUCUUUUACAGAAACCUGACCUUUACCAUUGAAUUGAGAUAAUAUUUUAUUAGAAGAAAGCAUGAUUCAUUGAGUUGGUGAGCUUCGAAUCUGUGCAAAGGAAAACUGGGAAGGACACAAAAAAGCUGGGCUGUGGAAAACCAUUGCCACACAACGAAUCUCAAUCUGUGCACAGAAACAGCACAAAGGAAGAAAAUAUUUCCAAGGAAACAUCUGAUCAUAGCACUGGAGCCAAUUUUCAAGUUCACAUUUUAACUUGCAUUUCGUUCCUGGCUGCUGACUUCCUGCUUCCUGUUCUCUUGCUGUUUAUAGGAUGAAUAUUGAUUUUCAGGCGAUCUAAUUAACCGCUUCCUAGAGGGCCAGGUUCCAAGGGCAGACUCGGGGCUGCAGUCCCAGCCUGGGGGCACCUUGGUGCCUGCCCAGGGACCUCUAAGCUGCGUGGGGUAUGAGGGAUGUGAGGGCGGAGCAGAAAGGAGGAUUCGGAUCAAACAGCCUCAGGAGUCACCAGCACCAGCCCCUGCAGCCAUAAGCCCUCUCCUGGGGGUGCAUUUCUUCUAGAAGGAAACCUGAGGAGCUGCUGCCGUGCCUUCUUUACCUAUACCAUGGUCAACCCCUCAUGUUGUGGAACUCCCUAAUCAAUGAACAGCCUGAAACAUACCGUGGGCUGGGAGUGCUGACUUUUGGAUAAAGACUGUUCCACUUGGACAGGAAUAAUUAAUAAUUAUCAGGGACUGGCUUUGUGCAUGCCUAGGGGGAGUUCACACCUUUCUAGGGCUACGUGAAGGUCUGGAGGUCUAUGGCUGGGGUUCAGAGGCUUCCUGCUGCCACAGGUGCUUUAUCCCUUCAUUACAUUUUGAUUCCCCAUCGUCCUUCCCACUUUACACUCACAGUCUUUGCUACUUAAAACCACAAAGCAAAAUUAAUAUAUUUUAAUUGUUGAAAGCCUUUUACUUGAAAUCUACCACAACGUUAGAAGCUCAUUCUCAGAAUUAAUCAGCCAGGUAGGCCUCCUGGUCACGACUGCCAUAACAAGUUCCCUGACAGAAGGCAAGCCUGCGGCCUUGCUUGGCCGCAGUCACCACCUGGGCAGCUUCUCUGCUGGGCCAGGCAGCCCCUGCCGAGUUUAAUUUUACACUUCAGUUGAAAUGCAACCUGGGCUGGCCUAUACCUCACGGUGCUGGUGCAAGGAGUGGCUGUGAAUCUCCUCAUGAAACCCAUCUGAACUCUUAAUGCCUACUGUGACCAAGUGACAGAGCCCAGGGCAGUUUCUCAUGUGGCAGUGUUUUUGUGUUAAAGUACAUCUCGUGUUGGACACGGCUUUUUGCUUUUGUUGUACGGUUCCCAACGUUUUCUUUGCUGUUAUUUUUAAUAUUGAUCCUGUAUUUGUGGAAAGGAAAUCUGUUCAAAACCUUGCUUUCCCCACCAGCAAGUCACAGUCUCAUGAUUUCCGUUACAUCCUACUAUCAAAGCAGUAAAAGCCCUCAAAUCACAUUGAAUUUAGGCUGCCUCUUGUCACAGUCAAGUGCAUGGCACCUCCUUGGAGCAGACCCUUGAAUUAAAAUAUUGUAAAUUUUUUGCUGUUCAAGCAAUACUGCAGAAACACUCGUGGCCAGGGAGGGAGGAGACUUUUUCCUCCUGCUGGAAUUUUUCACUAUAACCAUCCUCAGGGGAGUUCUCAUCUUCAAAAGAAACAUUCCUUCUAUACAAGCUGCAAAAAGAAUUAUUUAAUGACAUCAUAAAUUAAUACAGAGAGGCACAAAUUUUCCAAAAUGUGGAGAGAGAGGAAAAAAAAAUUAGCGUUUGCCAAAAACACCCCAGCUCUUCCAGACUUAGGCCUCUCUUGAGCCUGCGAGCUGCCAACGAUACCAAAUUGAACGGUGGGGUUUUUGGCAUGGCUAAAGUUUAGCUUGUUUAAAUUUUGGCAAAUAUUCGUAUUACUCACAUACUCAGCAAACUGAUACAAAUAUUUGUUCUAUUUAGAGUGAGGUCCAAAGGCAGUGCUGGCAUCAGCGCUGCUGGACUCGGUGGAACUAUCUUUCUCGUGCCAAUAUUAAAUUUGGACAUCUACCUUAAAGAAAAACAGCCUUUUAGGUACAGAUUAGAAUACAUCAAUGGAAAACAGCCCUCGUGCAUAGCCAAGUUUUCCUCGCUUGCUAAUUUUUGCCUGAAUCUGAGUUGAAAUGGGCCUAGUUUUUCUGCACGCGGGCUGCCACUCGCUGUUACGAUGCGGCGAGCCACCUAGGCAGAGCUGGAGCUGGAAGGGCCUCCGCACACACCGAGCCCUCCACAUUCCUGAGAAGCAAAAUGUGUUCCUGCUGCCGCACACCGAACCUGGGCGCGGUAACGUUUUAAUGCUGUGCAGGUUGCUGGGUUUGUUUUAGCGGUGGCUGCAGUUUACCGUUUCUAAUUCGAAAAACAAAUAGAGCAUUAACCUCCCACCUCCGGCUCCUCCAGGAGGCUCGGAUACUGUCGGGCUCCGCUUCUGGAGGCCCAGCAGCUUGGCAGAGAGCUGCCCCGUGGGCUGGUGGGGAGCUUGGUGCCGAUCACGCAGCAGCGAGCGGAGCCACAGCCACCAAACCCACCCAGAUGUGAAACACAGAACCGAAGCAGGAACCUGGGUGCCUCCCCCCUUGCCUCUGAGCUCUCUUUGGGAUCAGACACAGAAAGCGAGUUUGAAAUUUUGCAACGAAAACGAAACAAAAGCAAACAGACGCCACCCUUCCAUUCCUUAACUGAACGCAGCCAGAAUGCGCUGCGGGGGUGUGCUGGCUGCGGGUCUGUGUUCGGUUCAGAUGUGGUGUGUGAGCUGGAUGCUAUUUAGUGCUUGCUAAAUGCUUUUGUAAAGGCCGAGUAGGAGUGGGAUCCCCCUAACUUAACUUCAGCCAUUUAGAAAUGGGAAAUCUAGCCUGGCUGAGCUGGAUUCCUCUAUGAGUGGAAAAUAUCAUCGCCAUAGCAUGAUUCAUCCCCUUUUAAUCUAAGUGUCUGAUCUCUCUCCAUUGACUAUAAAAGGAGCCCAGCUGACCAGAUUAGCAUAUACCCAAAUUUUGGGCAUUUCUGUGCUAACUCAGCCUUUUACAACCGGGCCCUGUAGUGGCCAUACCAUGGCCUGUUUUUAAAACUAGGAGCUCGCGGUGUGCCACGGGGGUUCACAGAGCGCCUGCACAGCACCGAACCUCGGCCGUGAGCUUUACAAAAAGCCUGACGGCCGCGUGUGCCCUCGUCUGCUUCCAUCUGAACGUUAAACCCUGCAUUAGCUACGGGUUCAAGGCUCCUCUGCCUUCCCUGCAUGAGCAGAAAGCUGCCGGAACAAUUCUGGUAGGAGUUACUUUCAAAGCUGCCUUAAACCAAUAAAUAUUGCAUUAAUCAAGAGAAGCGGAGGAAAAAUGGUGCAAAAUAGCGGCGGUGAUUAUUCAUGGAAAAGGCCAUUAUUAUUGUUAGUCAUAUUUGUAAAACAGGCAAAGGAGCCAGUCCAGCUUGGCAUGUGGACUCUGGGCUCAUGACCCCAUAAAUUGUAGGCUACGGUGGCAGUGCUCGUCUCGUGGUGUUGAUUCAGUGUCACGGUGAGGAAUGACCCGAGCCUUUCACCUUAUGGCUGCCGAUACCCUCAGACCCCUGCGGCCCCCCAGCCCUGUAGUUCUUCACCACUGUACAUGCAACCGGUCCACGCAUAAGUAUGGGAGCAUCAUUUUGCUGCUCCUGUUACAAGCUGCUUUUAACUUCAGUCUAGCAGUGCUUGUGGUCCACUAAAAAUAAAUAAAAUAAAAUAAAAAAUAAAAAAGGAAAAGAAACACGAAAUACUGAAAACAAACAAAAAAACCCUUAGUCUUGCAGCAGGCAGUUAAAGUUUGCUGGUGUCGCUAUGGCACGGUUAUAAAGGGUCAAGUGUUAAUUUUGGGCAAGUGUUAAUUGGUAUAAUCAGACAGUAGGAAACAGAAGACAGACACAGCAGCCAGUAAUUCACCACGGAAUGUUUUUAUACUAAUUAUU